CAGAUACUUACAAAAUGUUUAACAAAUAAAUCUCUGUUUAUUACACAAAACUAUCACAGUAUAAAAUUCUCCAAACUCGCUCAUGCACAUCCUGGACACAAAAUGAUGCGCUUAAUACAUUCGCUUCUACGUUAUUUAAAGUCAUGCGCAUUGAACGCAGAAUGAUGCGCUUAAUGCACCCGCUUCACUCACGCGCAUCCCGGAUUGAGAUGAUCCUGUUGUCGCGGGGAUCUUUGCUUCCCAAGUUCAAAACAGUUAUAACACAAAGAGAAGAGAUAUGUUAUGUCUUUAAAUCAUAGAACAUUGAAUCCAUCCUAAAGUUAAAAGUUAUGUAUGAAUGACGCAUAACAUAGACCGCUUCCAGUGCUUGAAUCUAAUAACGUUACACUCAGAGAGUACAGUCUCCGGCAAAAUGCAUUUUAAACAAAACCAAAGUCUAUUAUCUAGUGAUUAUGAAGUAUAUUGAAAACUUUGGAACGAGUAACGUCCUGACUGUUCCCGGACACGCGCAUGCUGGAUUGAGAUUGACAGAUGACCGCACCAGCGGAGAAUCUUGAGAAUCAUAUCCGAAGACAAGAGAAGCCGUGUCAGCCGAGGCAAACCAAGUGACGGCUUUGUCGGAAUGGGAGAACAGCAGGAAGGAAAAAUUGUUUUUUACCAACCUCAAGUGCACAAAUUGCGGAUGGGAAGAUCUCGAUCUAUCAGUGUGAUUUAUCCAAGUUCUCCAGUGCAAUUACAUGGAAGUUUGGAGCAAUUUGGGAUAGAGGAGCACUGGUGGCUAUAAACCAAUGUGACAGGCAAAAGUCCACCAUUUGUGUUUACAGAAGAUGGUGUAAAACAUCUAUUUGAAGGUGCCUGUGACAUUGAUUUGCUUCAGUCUGCAGAUGGCUUUGAGGAAAGAAACAGAGCAUGGGGAAUAGAUUACUUGACCGAGA